UACAGAGGUCUCAAGCGUUGUUCGGAUUCAUUGGGCGUAAAGCGCGCGUAGGCGGCCAGAUAAGUCCGGUGUGAAAGUCACAGGCUCAACCUGUGAAUGCCGCUGGAAACUGUCUGGCUCGAGUCCGGGAGGGGCGAGUGGAAUUCCUGGUGUAGCGGUGAAAUGCGCAGAUAUCAGGAAGAACACGAGUGGCGAAGGCGGUUCUCUGGGACGGUACUGACGCUGAGACGCGAAAGCGUGGGGAGCGAACAGG
rnacentral:rRNA from 1 species